AACAGGUGGAGCCUGCGGUUUAAUUGGACUCAACGCCGGGAAACUCACCAGAUAAGACAGCUGAAUGAUAGUCGGGCUGAAGACUCUACUUGACUAGCUGAGAGGAGGUGCAUGGCCGUCGUCAGUUCGUACUGUGAAGCAUCCUGUUAAGUCAGGCAACGAGCGAGACCCACGCCAACAGUUGCCAGCUCGUCCUCCGGGAUGGUGGGGACACUGUUGGGACCGCCUCUGCUAAAGAGGAGGAAGGAAUGGGCAACGGUAGGUCAGCAUGCCCCGAAUUAUCUGGGCUACACGCGGGCUACAAUGGGUGGGACAAUGGGUAUCGACACCGAAAGGUGAAGGCAAUCUCCUAAACCCAUCCGUAGUUCGGAUUGUGGGCUGCAACUCGCCCACAUGAAGCUGGAAUCUGUAGUAAUCGUGUCUCAAAAUGGCACGGUGAAUAUGUCCCUGCUCCUU
rnacentral:rRNA from 1 species